rnacentral:tRNA from 1 species
UAGGAUUAUAAUUUAUAAUAAAAUAUUUGAUUUGCAUUCAAAAAAAGUUUAAUUAAACUUAUCUUAU